GCGCUCACUUUGGCAGCACAUACACUAAAAUUGGAACGAUACAGAGAUGAGCAUGGCCCUGUGCAAGGGUGACAUGCAACUUCGUGAAGCUUCCACAUUUUUU